UAAGACUCAAUUUACCCAAAUAAGUACUCGAAAUACAUAUGAAAAGAACACCAGCAAUAAGGGAUUUUUGAUGAUAUAAGCAUCAAUAUAGGCAACUUCCUGUCUAAAAAAUAUCAUCUCAAGCCUAAGUAAUCGAACAACAUUUCCAAAGACCAUCAGCAAGCAUUUUUAAUAUAAGCAUCAAAGUAGGCAUUUUCCUGUCCAAAAGAUCUCCUCUCAAGCCCAAAUACGUAUUCCAACAAUUUGCCAGGAAUAAAAAAUAUAGUAAUUUUUGUAAUGCAAGCACCAAAGCAGGCACUUCUAUCUCAAG
rnacentral:misc_RNA from 1 species